GUCAGAUGUGUUGGUCAGGUGACUUGAGAAAGAGACAACAUGUUGGUUCACUGUUAUAGUGAGUAUUUUAUUAUUACAAGUAUUUCUGAUUUGUUGAGGUUAACCUGCGGUCAGAUGUGUUGGUCAGGUGACUUGAGAAAGAGACAACAUGUUGGUUCACUGUUAUAGUGAGUAUUUUAUUAUUACAAGUAUUUCUGAUUUGUUGAGGUUAACCUGCCGUCAGAUGUGUUGGUCAGGUGACUUGAGAAAGAGACAACAUGUUGGUUCACUGUUAUAGUGAGUAUUUUAUUAUUACAAGUAUUUCUGAUUUGUUGAGGUUAACCUGCCGUCAGAUGUGUUGGUCAGGUGACUUGAGAAAGAGACAACAUGUUGGUUCACUGUUAUAGUGAGUAUUUUAUUAUUACAAGUAUUUCUGAUUUGUUGAGGUUAACCUGCGGUCAGAUGUGUUGGUCAGGUGACUUGAGAAAGAGACAACAUGUUGGUUCACUGUUAUAGUGAGUAUUUUAUUAUUACAAGUAUUUCUGAUUUGUUGAGGUUAACCUGCGGUCAGAUGUGUUGGUCAGGUGACUUGAGAAAGAGACAACAUGUUGGUUCACUGUUAUAGUGAGUAUUUUAUUAUUACAAGUAUUUCUGAUUUGUUGAGGUUAACCUGCGGUCAGAUGUGUUGGUCAGGUGACUUGAGAAAGAGACAACAUGUUGGUUCACUGUUAUAGUGAGUAUUUUAUUAUUACAAGUAUUUCUGAUUUGUUGAGGUUAACCUGCGGUCAGAUGUGUUGGUCAGGUGACUUGAGAAAGAGACAACAUGUUGGUUCACUGUUAUAGUGAGUAUUUUAUUAUUACAAGUAUUUCUGAUUUGUUGAGGUUAACCUGCCGUCAGAUGUGUUGGUCAGGUGACUUGAGAAAGAGACAACAUGUUGGUUCACUGUUAUAGUGAGUAUUUUAUUAUUACAAGUAUUUCUGAUUUGUUGAGGUUAACCUGCGGUCAGAUGUGUUGGUCAGGUGACUUGAGAAAGAGACAACAUGUUGGUUCACUGUUAUAGUGAGUAUUUUAUUAUUACAAGUAUUUCUGAUUUGUUGAGGUUAACCUGAGGUAAGAUGUGUUGGUCAGGUGACUUGAGAAAGAGACAACAUGUUGGUUCACUGUUAUAGUGAGUAUUUUAUUAUUACAAGUAUUUCUGAUUUGUUGAGGUUAACCUGAGGUAAUAUGUCAUCUUCUGUACAAUAAAAUAAUGGUACACCUCAACAAACUAGACAAAGAGGUACAUGUAUAAUUAUCUACCACUUUACAAACAAGGAGGCACCAGGAAGGGACUGGAGAAUGACAAGCCUUUCAUCAUUCUACUUCUGUUCACUAUGUU